GGCGGCCAAGGGCUCGGCGGCAGGAAGCGGACGCUCGCCGGCUCCGGCCCUCGGCUCUGCGGGCCCACGGGGGGCGCGGGUGACUUUUGCCCGCCGUGAAGGGUGUGACUGCCCGGCUCGUGCUAGGAGGAUGUUCUCCGGUGGAAAAUCAGAGAAAUGAAUGAGAGUUGACACUGAGUGGGCCUUCUUCACAAUACCUGCUUUUGACUGGUUGGUUUGAGUUGCAGUCUUCCUAAGCCAAUAUCCAACACCAUCACUCAAGUCAAACAGUAAAUGCAGCCGACAAUCUGUGGACCUGGGUGAUCGUAUAUUGUUCUGUCAUGCCUGUGGCAUCAUCAAUAGCAGCUCUCAACAUGGAGCCCCUUUAAACAGCGACUCUAUUAAAUAAAACAUGAUGGAUCACACUCUACAUUUGCAUGCCAGCUAAAACACGGUCAAGGCUCUGCUAAAACAGAGAGGAUCCUGCCCUUGCCUGAACAUGAUGGAGGCGAAAUGGAGGGAGCACUAUUUGACAUAAAUGAAGACAAGGACAAUGAUCAAGUCUGAAAGAGAAUUAAUUGAAAAGGAGUAGCCGACUCUGAUCUCCAGAUUGAGCUUCUGAGGAGGAUUUGGGGAAGCCAGAAAGAACAGAUCCCAGGUAGCUGUUGGUCCAAGGAAAACAAAAGAUGAGUGGAGCUGACCUGAACCUGACCUGCACUGUGAAGUGGAACUUGCCCAGGCUACUCUCAGGUCUAUAAGAAAACAAAUGAAU